CCCUUGGGCCAUUUUUGUGGCCUUCCUCUGCAUGUGUUCUCUGCAUGUACUCCCCAUCUGGAUGUAUCUAUGUCAUAGGUACAUAAAAUUCAAGAACUUCUUUCCAUUCUGCCAAGAGCACGCUAAAACUUGAAAGCUGUUUCAGUUGAGGUGCUAUCCCUGGGGAGCAAAUUGUUUUCAUGGGUGGUAUACAAGAGCUUUACCAAAAGAGGUUCUGGCUCUGAAUUGUUAGUAUAGUGAAAACAAUUCCUUAUUUUCUGUAAUGGAAAUGAAAGUAGAACUGCUCAGACAGAAGGACACAGAUCGACCUCCCAUAACUGCUUUGGAAAUGUCCCAAAAAUAGUUAAAAGAGCAGCGGGGUAUGCUGUAAAAGAAACAGGAUAGUAAAGUUUUUGAAAAUUUCAAGUAAGAGAGCUCAGAUUGUUGCCAGCUAACCUAGGUCCUGGUGAUCAGAUCACAGCUGCAUAUCAUUUAAAUUUUAUUUCUUUAUAUUUGGACAGAAAUCUUGUUGUUGCCUUUUUACCUGCUUUUAAAACAAACAAAAAAAAAAAAAAACCAAACAAACAAAAACAAACACGGGAUCAGAAAAGACUCUGUGGGCUACGGAGCCCAGCUCCUUCCUGCAACUUAACAGAUAAUAUGACCCCACUUGUAAAUUUAUGAAACUUUCAUCUGAAAAGACUUGUAAAGUGGUUUUUUUAGUCUGUUUUUUCUGUACUCCACACUCUUACAGGGAAGCUACUGCAAUAGUUUGUGUCCCAGACAUAUGGAAAUCAUUGUAAUUUCUGUGAUACAUUUCUAUGACUGUAUAUGCAGGUGAUCUUAUGCUGAAACUGAGUUGUUCUUAAAUUGUCUUUCCUUCUGGUGGUAUUCUUUUUCCCCACUUCUUUAUCUCCAGUGUGUUCGGAGAGUGAUAGUACACAUUUCCUCAGAUUUCAAGUGAAUAAAUAAUGAAAAGAUAAUAAGCUAAAUAAGCUAAAUCCUUUAAAUCACUUUCAUCGGGAUUGUCGUCCAUUUGACGCUAUUCCAGAAAAGGCCAUAUAAAAAUCUUACAUAAUGGUUGAACACUUGCCAGUCUAUAGGGAAACAUGUUUUUUUCAUAGCUAGUUCUGCCUGAGGGGACAUAAUUUUGCUCCAACAGAUAGGAAUACUGAUUUAUCUCUUUUUUUUUUAUUUACCUAAGUCUCUUUUCUAAAUCACAAACCUUUAACAGGCAGUAGAAAAUUCCCACUAGUAAUAUCAAAGGGUACAACCUUGGACUUUGUACUUUUAACCUCUCCUCCUUUCUGUAACUGAAGUUCAAUGACCUUUAUGAUAUUCCAGGCCUUUUCUGCUUUGACGUUGCCUCCAAACUUUGUCAUCAGAAAAUGUCAUAAGCGCACUUAUGCUGUGCCAAAAUUAGCUAUGAUACUAUCCACUAUUUUUAGUCUCCUAACUAAUCCUAGAAAAUUCAGCUGGUAACUUUGCUCCAAACAUACACUUCCCGUUUCAAUGCAACAUGUUGAAUCUUUCUGUUUUUGCCUUGAUAAUAAGGAUAGUCCAGUCUGUCCAACACCAAGACAUUUACGUUUUUCUCUGUGAUUUUGGUCUGAUUCCAGUUCAUUUCUUAGCCCUAUAUUCUCAUUUUCUCCUACGCUCUAGUCUUUUUCUCAUUUUCAGCUGGUUUUUGAAAGCCUGGUGUAUCAAAUGGUUUCAUAAUGUCCAUCAAAAUUGGCUCACUGUGUUUAUUUCAAGCUAGGAAAAAAGAAAGGGUUGCUUUGUAUUUAUCUGAAAAAAAAAAGCACCCAGGUAGACCUCAUGCAGUCUUCUUCCCAUGCAAGACUUAUUUACCCUUAACUUCUUUUCAAAUUUACAUUUAGUUGAUGUAUUAAUAAUUCUUAUGUUGGGUGUUUUAAAACCUUGUGUACUACUAAAGUUUGUUUAAUAGGCUUGUAGUUUACUUGGUUACUUUCUCUUCUCUACCCAUAUUUCAUUUGCUGAUCUUGAGUAAUGUGAUCCAAUACUUGCCUUGUUUGCUUUAUUAACCAGCCCUCUGCUUUUCAGCUCACUAUUUAAGGCAAAGUAACAGAUUUAAAAUAUAUAUUAUUCCAAAACUAUGCUCAGUAAGGAGUACUGUGCUAUUUGAAGCAGAACUAAGCUACUUGAAGAAAGGACUACACAUUGAGUUAAACCAGGCAGUGUAUGAGGAAAGAUUACCUCGCUUGUGAGUAAUCUACACCAAAACAGAACAGGAAAGAUGCAUCUACUGCAGAGUAUUUUACUGUCCAGCGUUCUACAGGUUGUUGUCAGCAUUUGCAAAAAGCACAAGCAACUACAAAGAUCAAGAUUAGCAGAAAAUAAAAACAGGAGACUUUGUACAAAAGGAAAAUUCGGAGAUGAAUUCAGUGAUGAGUCUGCUAGAGGUAUGCUACAGAGAUGGCCGUCUGUUGGAUGAUGUGGCAAUGCUGUCUGUCCUGUUAUCAAGUAUGACAUUCUGCUCAGCUUCUCCUAAUGUUGUGGUAGUACCUGGCACUGGCCGCCAAGUGUAAUCUCUCACCGCUAGCCAAAAUAGAUCAAGGCUGACCACUUCAUUCUAAACAUGGAGUGAGCUUAUCUGUCCAAAGAGCAAACGCAGCAGAGGGCAUACUGGUAACAUAAUUGGACAGAGAACUCUAAUCCUCUGUAUUGUAGGAUGUGAAAAGAAAUCUCAGCUGAACAUUCAGCAGCACACUGGAAAGCAAAUGGCAUUCUCAUCACCAAGGAUUUUGAUUAGCAUUUCUGCUGAUCUUUUUGUGGGUUCUUUAAAAAGCUGAGGUUGAUUGUUCUGAUGGACGCUUUUAUCAGUCCAGGCACUAAAUAAUUUAUUAAAUGCUUUUGCUGAAGAUGGAGAAUUGGUAACACAAGAGAUGCUUCUGGGAACCAUCUUUCUCAAGUAUAUAAAGAACUUCCUAUAUUUGUGUAUUCUGUACUUAGAUGAACGUAUAUUGUCCACAAACAUGAGCUGCAUUACAAGGGAGCUAUGCACGCAUUAAUUUGGUUAAUCUCAGGUAACAAUUUAAAAGUGGGUUUGGCUGUCAUGUUCUGCCAGGAGGUCUGUAUACUGGAAAAACUGCACCUCCAACAGGAGACCACUGAAUAAGCAACCGAUGGUUAAGAGCCAUUGAAGAUUGCUUCCUGGUCCUAGUUUCAGAGUUAAAAAUGCUUGACAGAACAGCAAUAAGCCUUUUCUAUGCAGGCAGCAAUACCUAUAUUACAGUUAUCUUUCUCAAAUAAAAUGCAGAAGAGAAAACUCUAUGACUGAGUUACACUGUUGUAGUUUGCCUUCUCUCCCCCCUCCCUCCACCCCCCCCUAGAAAAAAAGGUGUUGAAUGCAUGCAUGUUUAUGUGGACAUGUCAUGUCAUCAGAACUGGAUGGCUGCCAGAGAAGGAAUACUUAUAUAUAGUCAGACAUUCCUUUUAUGUUAUCGAUACCUGGUAUCUUUCCAAAAUAAUCUUGCCUAAUUUUGGACACUUUAAAGACUGAUUUAGCUGUGUUGCUUCAUUGAAAUCUUGGGAAAGGUUGCCUCCUGAAGCACUCCGUUAAAAACGUCAGACAUAAUAUUUCAAUAUUUUGACUAAAUAAAUCAUUAAAAAUAAUUGGGUUAUUUUUCCUGCAUUUCUUCAGAACAUAACCAAAAUCAAAUCAAUUCAUCCUUUUCCUGCUGUUAUUAGUAUCUAGCUCAAAUUUUCUGAAGACUGAAACUGUAUGGUAACAUAUAUCUCUGUUAUGGCACCAUGUAUCUGUUAGAUAACGCAGUACAGAUUGAGACUUUUAUUGUAUGUUUAAGAUUGAUUUGUAUUACCUUGUGUAACUGGCCAUGUAGAAGCUGGCUCGGUAGUUAUUCUCUGUGGCAUUCUCCCUAUGUAAAAUUAAAAAGUUUUCCCUGUGAGCUGUUAUUCUAUGAUUUCCGUAUGUGAAAUGUGCUCUGAGCUGACAGUCCUUCUUUAGUCCUUUCCUGGCAUCGUGCCAUGAUACUUUGCCUAAAACUUCCCUUGUGUUCAAGCCUCUUUUUCUCAGCUUUCAAAUCAGAAUCCAACACAGUUUCUUUAACUAUUCUCUGUGCUAGAUUCUAGUAAUUACUAGAUU